rnacentral:pre_miRNA from 1 species
GAUUUCAUCUAAAAAAGUCAUCAAUAACAAAGUUGUAUAACUCAUCAAGAUCUAUAACUUCUAUUUUGGUAAUUUCUUCAUCCGACAAAGUGAUUUACAAGAUUGUUCACAAAAUGUACAUCUCUUGUAUAAUAACUUCUAUUUUGGUCAUUUCUUCAUCAGACAAAGUGAUUUGCAAGAUUGUUCACAAAAUGUAUAUCUCUUGUAUAUUCAUCCGACAAAGUGCUUUGCAAGAUUGUUCACAAAAUGUACAUCUCUUGUAUACAAGAGAUGUACAAGAGAUGUACAUUUUGUGAACAAUCUUGCAAAUCACUUUGUCGGAUGAAGAAAUGACCAAAAAUAUAGAAGUUAUAGAUAUUGAUGAGUUAUACAACUUUUUUAUUGAUGACUUUUUCAGUUGAAAUC